GGUUAGUUGACUCUGUUGGUCUU
rnacentral:piRNA from 2 species